AGUGAACGCUGGCGGUAGGCCUAACACAUGCAAGUCGAACGGCAGCACAGUAAGAGCUUGCUCUUACGGGUGGCGAGUGGCGGACGGGUGAGGAAUACAUCGGAAUCUACUUUUUCGUGGGGGAUAACGUAGGGAAACUUACGCUAAUACCGCAUACGACCUACGGGUGAAAGUAGGGGAUCUUCGGACCUUGCGCGAUUGAAUGAGCCGAUGUCGGAUUAGCUAGUUGGCGGGGUAAAGGCCCACCAAGGCGACGAUCCGUAGCUGGUCUGAGAGGAUGAUCAGCCGCACUGGAACUGAGACACGGUCCAGACUCCUACGGGAGGCAGCAGUGGGGAAUAUUGGACAAUGGGCGCAAGCCUGAUCCAGCCAUACCGCGUGGGUGAAGAAGGCCUUCGGGUUGUAAAGCCCUUUUGUUGGGAAAGAAAAGCAGCAGGUUAAUACCCCGCUGUUCUGACGGUACCCAAAGAAUAAGCACCGGCUAACUUCGUG
rnacentral:rRNA from 1 species